ensembl:miRNA MIR363 microRNA 363
UCGGGUGGAUCACGAUGCAAUUUUGAUGAGUAUAAUAGGAGAAAAAUUGCACGGUAUCCAUCUGUAA